GUCUCUUAAUUGGGGUCUGGAAUGAAUGGUUGGAUGAAAAAUUUACUUUCUUUAUUUUAAAAAUUUAAAUUAAUUUCUGAUUUAAAAAGUUUAGAUUUUAUUAGAGGACGAGAAGACCCUAUAGAACUUUACCUUUUCUUAGUUAUCUACCUAUUUGAAAAUAAUUGGGUUUUAUUUAUGGGAUGGUUUUGUUGGGGUGACAAAAAAAAAUUAAUAACUUUUUUUAUUUAUUUCAUUUAUGUAUGUUUUUAAUUGAUCCUUUAUUAUGGAUAAUAAGAUUUAGUUACCUUAGGGAUAACAGCGUUAUCAUUCCAGGGAGUUCAUAUCUAUGGAAUGGGUUGCGACCUCGAUGUUGGAUUAAAAUUAGUGCCAGGGGUAGAAUAUUGGUUACUAGGUCUGUUCGACCUUUAAUUUUUUACA
rnacentral:rRNA from 1 species